GACUAUAUAGGUCUUGUAGAAGAGAAACAGGCGCUUCUUUUGCAUUAGGUAUCGAAGGGCGCUAUGUUCAAAAAUCUGAAACUAGAGCUCAAAAUUUGAAAAAAAUGUCAAAAAAUUAGGGGGGUCGGCCUAUUCCAGGGCUUCUAGAGAAAAAUAAUGAGGGGUGUCACGGGGAAUGACUAUAUAGGUCUUGUAGAGGAGAAACAGGCGCUUCUUUUGCGCUAGGUAUCGAAGGGCGCUAUGUUCAAAAAUCUGAAACUAGAGCUCAAAAUUUGAAAAAAAUGUCAAAAAAUUAGGGGGGUCGGCCUAUUCUAGGACUUCUAGAGAAAAAUAAUGAGGGGUGUCACGGGGUAUGACUAUAUAGGUCUUGUAGAGGAGAAACAGGCGCUUCUUUUGCGCUAGGUAUCGAAGGGCGCUAUGUUCAAAAAUCUGAAACUAGAGCUCAAAAUUCGAAAAAAAUGUCAAAAAAAUGGGGGUAGGGUCGGCCUAUUCCAGGAGUUCUAGAGAAAAAUAAUGGGGGUGUCACGGGACAUGGACUAUAUAGGUCUUGUAGAAGAGAAACAGGCGCUUCUUUUGCGCUAGGUAUCGAAGGGCGCUAUGUUCAAAAAUCUGAAACUAGAGCUCAAAAUUCGAAAAAAAUGUCCAAAAAAUUAGGGGGGUCGGCCUAUUCCAGGGCUUCUAGAGAAAAAUAAUGAGGGGUGUCACGGGGUAUGACUAUAUAGGUCUUGUAGAGGAGAAACAGGCGCUUCUUUUGCGCUAGGUAUCGAAGGGCGCUAUGUUCAAAAAUCUGAAACUAGAGCUCAAAAUUUGAAAAAAAUGUCAAAAAAUGGGGUAGGGUCGGCCUAUUCCAGGAGUUCUAGAGAAAAAUAAUGGGGGGUGUCACGGGAUAUGGCUAUAUAGGUCUUGUAGAAGAGAAACAGGCGCUUCUUUUGCGCUAGGUAUCGAAGGGCGCUAUGUUCAAAAAUCUGAAACUAGAGCUCAAAAAUUUGAAAAAAAAUGUCAAAAAAAUUAGGGGGUCGGCCUAUUCCAGGGCUUCUAGAGAAAAAUAAUGAGGGGUGUCACGGGGAAUGACUAUAUAGGUCUUGUAGAGGAGAAACAGGCGCUUCUUUUGCGCUAGGUAUCGAAGGGCGCUAUGUUCAAAAAUCUGAAACUAGAGCUCAAAAUUUGAAAAAAAUGUCAAAAAAAUGGGGGUAGGGUCGGCCUAUUCCAGGAGUUCUAGAGAAAAAUAAUGAGGGGUGUCACGGGAUAUGACUAUAUAGGUCUUGUAGAGGAGAAACAGGCGCUUCUUUUGCGCUAGGUAUCAAAGGGCGCUAUGUUCAAAAAUCUGAAACUAGAGCUCAAAAUUUGAAAAAAAUGUCCAAAAAAUGGGGGUAGGGUCGGCCUAUUCCAGGAUUUCUAGAGAAAAAUAAUGGGGGUGUCACGGGGUAUGACUAUAUAGGUCUUGUAGAGGAGAAAACAGGCGCUUCUUUUGCACUAGGUAUCGAAGGGCGCUAUGUUCAAAAAUCUGAAACUAGAGCUCAAAAAUUUGAAAAAAAUGUCAAAAAAUUAGGGGGGUCGGCCUAUUCCAGGACUUCUAGAGAAAAAUAAUGAGGGGUGUCACGGGAUAUGACUAUAUAGGUCUUGUAGAAGAGAAACAGGCGCUUCUUUUGCACUAGGUAUCGAAGGGCGCUAUGUUCAAAAAUCUGAAACUAGAGCUCAAAAUUCGAAAAAAAUGUCAAAAAAUGGGGGGGGUCGGCCUAUUCCAGGAGUUCUAGAGAAAAAUAAUGAGGGGUGUCACGGGGUAUGACUAUAUAGGUCUUGUAGAGGAGAAACAGGCGCUUCUUUUG
rnacentral:lncRNA from 1 species